rnacentral:lncRNA from 1 species
AAAUAAAAAUAAAAGGGAGAAUCCCUUUUCUGCUGGGGUUCUAAGGCUAGAAGCCCCGCUGCCGUAGAGCCUCCCCACCGCCCGGUGGCCGGAGCCCUGCGAGGGCGUCUCCCACCAGCGCUUUGGAGCGCGUUCACAGACCAAGACUCCGAAACGGGGAAACGAGGGGAAACGGAAAGCCUCUGCCCCUUCCUAAACUCGCGUCCGACGAUGGCGAAGGGCCGACGGCGACGACGGCUUCAGGGGCCGAUUCAGGUGAGUCUUUUCUUUUCUCUUUUUUGAUUUUUUUAAUUACUUUAAAAUAGAUUUGCAAAGAAAAAAAUAAAACAAAAUAAGAUAAAAUAAAAAACAAGAAGAAAUAGUAAGGAUUCAACCUUUUAAAAUUUCUAUAUCGCUUUUGAUUUCUGAUGUGGGUUUUUACAAAGAAAAAUCCCCCCAAAAUACAGUGAUGAAGCCCCCCUUUUACAUUGUUUUUCAAGGCUUAUAAAGCCGAAAAUCAACCCAUUCUCUGCCCCUUUUGCUGCUUCUAUUCCCCUUUUUUAUGUUGCUUGCAGGUACUUGACGAAGGCAGAGGCGUGGCUUGCCGUUUUGGUGCUAGGCGGUGGCUAGGGUGUCAGGUAAGCCUCGGGACGAGGCGCGGAUGGUACGCCCGAGGGAGUAGCGCACAUGGGCAGUAGGGCUACGGCGCGAAAGGGCAGGGAACCCUAGGGUUCCCUGUGCUGUUUAGUUUUUUGGGCCCCAAUGGGCCGUUUUAAAUUUUGGGCCUUGGGCUAUUGGGUAUUUGUUUUUGUAAUUGGGCCUCGGGUUAAUAUUUUUGGCACUAGGCCCGGGUAAAAUUGGGUCUGUACAAUAAUCUAUGAGAAAAUAUAUUUAAUAUUUGUACAUUCAACCAGUUUACAAUGACAAAAUGAUUUAUUUCCAUUUUUGAACUUCAUUUAAUUUAAAAACCAUAAAUUUAUUUGUAGGCCAUUUUCAUUUUGGAGAAAACUACAUUCAUGUCUAAAUGUUUUCAUUUCUCCAUUUUCAUUUUCAUUUUCAUUUUCAUUUUCAUUUUGAAGAAAACCACAUUCAUUUACAAAUGUUUCCCAUUUCUCCAUUUUCACCAUUUUAUCAAUUUUUGUUCAUUUGAUUCAACUAGUAAUUCAAUUUUGGUUUCAACGAGCCAGCGAAGGGACCGAUUGGACAUAUGUGAUUAGGAAUCAAAUGAUUUAUAAUUAAGUUCUAGCUUCCUAUUAAUUAUAAACUCAUUUAGUCAUGAAGUCAUUCCAGUAUAGUAUCGUGACUGAGCUCUAACCAACGGCAUACUAUUUCAAAAGCAACUUGAUCAGUGCUCUUGUAAUGACCUUGUCAUAAUUUUGUUACCCUUAUAGGAUAUCCAUAAUCUUUUUGGGAUAAAUAUGUUCUCCUAAUAUGAUAUUAAUUUAUCUCAUGGCAACCAUUAUCUCUUCCUUCAUGAAAAGUCAAUUAUUAUCAAAUAGUAAUCAAGUCAUUCAUCACAAAGACGAACGAAUCGUGGUCAUGUUUACUUUUCAUUUACCUAUGUCUCGGGCUAUGAAUUCUACUAUUGUGAAUGAUGCUACAUACUACAGAAGUCGUAUACCUAACGCACCAGCUUUCGGUUCCUUAUCUAUUUGAACUUGGGCUUUUACUUGCAUCAAACUAUACGAGUCACACAUACAUAGUCCAUCAUCCACUUAGGAUUUAGGUAUGCCACACUAUGAAUGUCACAAGUGAAUAAAUCCAGAAAUGGAUUUAGGAUCUAUUCUUCUUAGGUCCAGUCCAAUGUAAUGUCAGUCCAAUCAAUCACAUCUAUGACUCUAUUUUCUGGGAGUCAUUUGCUUCAAUGCCCGAGAUAAAGCAUCUCUCCAAUUGGACUUGAUAGAAGACAUAUUAGUUUUUUAAUCGAUUUGUUCAUUUCCUAUUAGACUAAGGACAUGUUUAGUGUCAUCAAAUAAUAUAAGUUGUCUUUCUAUAUUACAAUCUAACCACGUAAUACUACUUAGUAUUAGUUUAAACAGUAGUCAACCAGUGAGCUAAUAUUUGCUUCUAUUUUUCUAUACAUGCAAAAACCACAUGAGGAAAAUUAUACAAAGAAUAUUAAUGUAAUCCAUGAAUCGUUUUAUUAACCAAUCUUUUUUGAAAAAAUUACAAGUUUACAAACGAAUAAAUACCACACUUAGGACACCAGAUCUAACACGGGCCACCACUAGACCGCCUUGGGCCACUGUCGAACCACCGCCAUCGACCACCAUCGACCUCCACCAUCAACUCUUGCCUUCGAUCAUCACCAUUAGACCACUGGAAGCCUUUGCUGUUAAACAACCAUUCGUCUACUAUCGGUUUGGUUAGGUUGAGUUUGCAUCAUCUCAAUAAGCCUGGAUGUGUCUCGGUUCUCCGAGUUCCUUUAUAGGUUACAUAAAGUCCUAUGCCUGUUAUUGUCUCACAUAAUUUUUUUCUAUAACAAUAAAAUAAAUCCUGCAUAGAGAUGAUAGUUCACAAUUUAAUUAUACAUACCCAAAAAUUAAUAAUAAUUACAUUCAAAUUUUUAGGAAGCACAACUUUGGCAAAAUUAUGUAUUAUAUAUAAUACUAAAAUAAUAUCAUACAUUCAUUCACAUAUGUAGCCCUAAACAUGCUAAUAAUUACAAGAAUGUCUCAUCUUAUCAAAAUUAAUCACACGUAAAGAAGAGAGAAAAUUUCCUGUAACACCUUUAACCCGACCCAAAUCACCAAAUUCGAAUAUCGGAUGUUACAAUGCAAAAGCACUUAACAAAAAUUUAUACAUAUGGCGUAAUCUAUUUUAAAACAUACUUCUUAUUUCUUUUGAACUAUUAUUUAACAUAAAAGAGGGUAAUUAAUAAUUACAUUUAAGUCUUUGCAAAAAUGUUACAACAUAAAACUUUGCUAAAAACAUACUCUUAUGGUGCAAUGUACUAUGUAUCAUACUCCUAAGAUGUCUUAUGUAUGCAUAAUAUCCCAACUUGUUGCUACUUAAACGCACUCCUAGCUUGGUCCCUCCUAGCAUACCUAUUAUUACAACAGAACCUGAAGUAUAAACAAACACCUGUAAGUUCAAACGAACUUAGUGAGCUUUGAUUCCAUAUUACCUUAAAGCAUUUCUAAUUGAAUUAAUCAUCUUGAAAGCUUUGGGUUCCAUUUGUCUUUGGCAGAUGCUUUCCCAUAACGACAUAUACAUAUUCAUCAAUUUUCAUACUUGAUCAAUCUAUUCACAAGUCACUCUUUGAACUGAUUCUAGACUUUAACACUCAAUACAGACCUUAUUUCCUUACUUGGAAACCGAAUGUACUCUUCAGAAGAAUAUCCAAAUAGAACAUUUUUCGACAGACUCUCACUCAGACGAACACUAAAUAUUUUAAUUAAACUAGUUGAUCUUACAUUUGGCAGAUUCUCAUACUAAGUUUGAUAACUAUCAGAUUACCAAUCAGAUCAUAUCUUGCAUCAACCCCAAAUCAAAACUUAUAUUGAUGAUGAAAUGUUUUAGAUCAUCUAGAAGAAUUACAGACAACCAUAUCAAAUAUCAUGAGAACACAAAGUUUGGCGGACAACUUAAACUUUAGAUAACCUUUAUAUAGCGUAAAGCCUCAAAUUGGUAGAUACGAUAGAAUUUAAAUAUCUUCAAUACACAGCGUUGACAAACUUGAGACUGUCAAACAAUUACUUGUUCAUAGUUGCGAAUAUGCCAGAUUUCCUAUACUGAUAGACUACUAUGGCGGAUUCACCCUUUAAAUAACACUGCUGGAGACUCUUUCAAAAGUUUUACUUGGAUCAUAUUCAAAUUCUGCCCUAAGACUAACCAAGUAGAAAGGUCAUCAAACUUAUCAAUUCUCUAUCAUCACAUUAGUUACCAAAUAAGUCUCAAAGUUUACCCAGAUCAUGACACAGAAGCUUUCGACCAAACUUCGCCACAAGGGUGUUACAGAUUACGUAACACAGAUAUCAUAGAAUAAGCCACACAGGCUUCAUCAAAUACGCCAUAAAGACAUUGCAGAACACACCACGAAUGUGUCACAAAGAAUUACGUGUUUACUGUCCAGUUGGACAAUCUCAGAGGUUGUCAUGGGGUUUUUCCCACAUGGUCUUAUACAUAACUUUAUGUCGUGAUCUACCGGCCUAGUCCAUAUUUUACUAGAGGCAUCAUCAUGAGUAUUUUUAUUGUCGUAUUAUGCCAUGGAUCUUAGCCACAUGGGCUUACACAUCCUCAUGUCGUGUUCUACUAGUUCGAUUUUCAUUUCAUCGAAUGUUACAUCAUGAGUAUAUUUAUCAUCAACAUGAUGUGCCUGUUCGGCUAGCAAUGUACCUGCCAUACCAAAGGCAUCACAAAUGGACAAAUUCCUCACUUAACAUCAAUUACACUAACCCAGAUUCAUUCACUCCCCUGACUAAUUCAUACACUUCCAUAUUUGCUUUCACAUGCAUAUAUACCAUGCAUCAUCUUACUCAUAUAGCAACUCAUAUGAUUAAUUUAUAAGUUAGCAAUUUCACAAACAUACACAAGUCACUAACAGUCAAAGCACAUUAAAAAUCAUACAUAAACACAAGCGAACCUAGGUUCGCACAUGCUAGUUUUUUGGUGAACCUAGUUUCCUUCAUUGCGAACCGUUCUUAAUUGCUUACAGAAUAGAGAAACAUAGUAUUACCUUAAAUCCUAAGAGCUAAGUGAUAGGUUCUUGUUUUCAUGGAAACUUGACAACAAGAUAAUAGAUGAAGAAAUUUUAGAGAGUUUUAUCAUUCAAAAGAAUUUGAAUUUUCAAUGAAAAGGGUUUAAUUUGUAGGCAUUAAGUGUUUCAAUGUCCUUAGGAAACCUUAGUCGUAGUAGAAGUAGGAAAGAGUUGCGUGCAUGGAUGGUGUUACUAAGAGAAAAGUAAGUUGACUUCCUAAUUUUGGUAUAAUUACCCUUUAACUACUUCUACUUUUGACUUUUGACCCAAAACAACGAUCACAGCUCGUCAGGCCCAUUAGCGAACCCGAGCUCGCCAGGCCUUAAACUCCUAGGCGUUAUUCUGGGAUGUUACAUGAGAAGUAUUCGAAGUAUCGUUUGUCUAGAGUAUAAUAAACCCCUCAACACGUCUAAUAUAGUUUUCGAUGGGGUUUUUUCCCUUUUUUCACAAAAGCACGAGUGAUUAAGGCUACCUAAAGAGGCACUUAGGUGAUUUAUAAAGUAGAGAGACCAAAACUUCAAUUGGAGACGAUACCGACUCGUAGAGGGGUUCACCAACUCCAAAUGGAUAAUACUUAAAAGACUUCUCUAGAACGAGUUGAAAAUCCAUUAAAAAAAGAAUCAAGAGAGAAAACAACGGAAUACUUAAAUCAAACACUCUACAUCACCCUUUUCUUGUCUUUGCAAGUAAAUCGUUCCCUCUUUUUUCUGUGUUGUCCAAAGCUAACUUCAUACCAAGAGAAUUGUUCUCUAAUUGUUUUUCUAUAAUCCCUUAAAUUUUGUCUUUAAAUAUGCUUCAAAAUAUAACCCUAAUGCUACGCUUUAUUAGAGUAUUAUUUUUGUGUGUAUAUUUUAAUAUAUAAGUUAGCAAUAAACUAUUUCAGUUGGUAAUAUAUACUCAGCCUUAUCACUUAUUUUUAGCAAAGAGAAAUUUUUUUUGCUUAUUUUUAAGAAGUUUUAUUUUUUACAAGAGUUUUUACUCCCCUUUUCAAUUUAAAGUUUAAAUUUGUACUGACUAUUCGUUAUUUCAUGUCUAACUAUUGUAAUACUUAUGUAAUAGAUAAAUUUUUCCUCAUAUUAUUACACUAGUAACCAAACGACACAUAAAAGUUACGCGUUAUGUUGCACCGCUCCUAAUGAUAAAAGGUUCCUGCUAGAGAAGGAGAAAUACAACAUGAUUUUCCCUCUUUUGGUUUGGUUCAUUGGAACAAUUGAGUUAUUUUCUCACUCAACUUUUCGUUUUGUACUUGCUAUGCAAAGAGAAUUGCAAGUUUAGGGAUAAAUUUUAAUUUUAUAUUUAAACUUUGAUACGAUGUGUAAUUUGAUAUAUGAACAUUGAUUUGAUGUAAUUAUACACGUGAAACUUUUAUUGUAGUUUAAAAACAUACAUGGAACUUUAAUUUUGAAUCAAUAGUAUACAUUUAAAUAAAUACAUCAAUUUAUUUUUAUAAUAAAUAAAUAAAUUAAUUAUUUGUGUAUGCAAUAUGUAAAAUUAAAAUAAUGCUAUAUUAAUAAUAGUGUUAGUAGUUUAUGAAAUUGAAUAAAAAAUUUAAUGUAAAAAAUUGCAUAAAAUUAAAGUUAUUGUAUAGUAUUGCACAUUAAAUCAAAAUUUACGUGUAAUUUUGAGAUUUAUCCCUAUAAUUUAUAGCUGUGCACGAAGAACACUUUAAUGAAUCACAAGACACCAUGAAUGAAAAAAAUUAUUAAUAAUUUUAAAUUUUAUAAUUAAUUUAUACUAGAAAUCCUAUCAGAUGCACAUGCGUGUGGAAAUCACAAAUAUAUAACACAAAUGUAUAAAAAUUAAAAAGAAUAAAAAUAUUAAAAUAAAGUUUUAGUUGAGAGGUAAAUUAAAAGUUUUACUUGGGUAAUUGGUUCGGGUUCAAAUUUUACCAUAUGUAUAUUUUUAUUUUUUAAAUAAAAAGACUAAAAGUACCCUCGAAUAAUAUAACUUAUUUUAAUUACGAAAAACAUUUCCGUAAUUUUCUUAAUUGAGUUAGUGACUCGGUUGAGGGUGACACCAACUCAGUAAAACAUUUAAUAAAUAGUACUAGAAAUCUUAUCACAUGUGCAUGCAUGUGGAAACUACACAUAUAGAAAACCAUGUUUGUUUAAAUUAUUUAUCACUGUGUUAUCAUCAAUAUUAAGUUGGUGUGGAGUUAGCUUGUGACACCAACUCAAUCAAAUACAUUAUUAAUUUUAGAAAUCCUAUCACACGUGUAUGCAUGUGAAAACCACAAAUAUAGAACACAAAUGUGUGUUUAAAAGUAUUUUGAGUUAGUUAUUUUCGAUUUCGCUUUGUCUAUUGUUAGAAAGACGUUGCUAGAAGAUAAAUUUGGAAAAACUCAUGUAAGGACCACUUGGUCUUAAGGCUACUGAUGACCUUUUUUUUAUAAAAAAAGUAUUUAUCAUAUAUACAAUUUGAUGGAAGUAAUAAAAUAUUAAUAAUAAAAUAAAAAUAUUAAAACAAAAAGGUUUUACUAAUAUAAUUGGAUGUAUACUCAAAUCACAUUUUUAUGUUUUUUUUAAAUAAAAUACUUAAUGCAUUUAUUAAAAAAUUGAAAAAACUAAACAAUGCUUUAAAGCCCUUCAUCUCAUGCAGGAUAUCAACUUAAGAAAAAUGUUUUCUAUAUAAUUAAAUUGUCUUUGAAUAAUAUAAUUUAUUUUAACUAUAAAAAAGUAUUUUGUAAUUUCUUUAAUUGAAUUUAAUCAGUUGAUGAUACAAAUUCAAGAAAAAUGAAAAAUAAUUCUGCAUUUUAAUAUGAUUGACGCAUUAAAUACAAACUUAUAAUAAUAUAAAUUGCUAUUAGAAUUUUAAGUUAAGUUAUCAGAAUAUCACUAUCCGUAAAGGAACCAGUUGGCACUGAUCAAAUUGGCUGGCAAAUGGCCAUCCAAAACCAAAAUUACUCGUGCAGUCAGCAAUACAACACAAACGACGUCGCUUGCAACCCAAGCCAAUCCUCGUGUCGAAACGUGGGCCUGGAUUAGGCCUUUAGCUUUUAAUAUUUUUUCUUCUUCUUAUUAUUAUUUUAAAAUUUUUAUUAUUGUUUCUCCUCCGGUGCACUGCACAAACAGCCAUCAACGAAGGGAAGAAAUAUAGAUAAAAAGGAAAAACAAAAAAAAGGAGGCCACUCUCUUUCGUUGGUCUCUGGCAUCGCCUUUUGAAGUUUGGUGUUUAAUGUUUCAAGUGAGGAACUGGAUGGUCUAUGGUUAUUGAUCCAUUUCCCGUCUGAUUCUGAUUUCGUUUUUGUUCCAUGUUUUCGUGGAUUUGAAUACAAAUUGAAAUUCAAAUCCCAGCUUGGUGGUCGCUGCAUAAAUAUUCGGGUUGACUGGAAAUUGAAGAAUGGCGGCGCAAAACCAGACCGAUCUGUUCGAUGCUUAUUUUAGGAAAGCGGAUUUGGACGGCGACGGCCAGAUCAGUGGAGCCGAGGCUGUUGCAUUUUUCCAAGGCUCCAAUUUGCCCAAACACGUUCUCGCUCAGGUCAUUUCCCUCUUUGUUUUCACAUUUCUCCUACAUAUUGACAACUUACCUUUCUUCUUUGGUGGCUCCGAGGCAUAGAUCAGUUUUGAUUUUUUUUUUCAUUCCGCCAAUUUUACAAUGUUUCUCUUUAGUUAGGGUUAGCUGCUAUUGGUUAUUGAAAAUGUUGGACUAUAUCAGAUUUGGCUCUAAUGGAUCGGCUAACUGCCAGUGGAUUCUUUUUGGAGUUUUUCCCCCGAUUCAGUCGUUCAUAUUUGUUGCUUUCGGAUGUUGGCAAAUAUCUGACGAUUGAGAGAAAAGGGUGACGGAAAACACAUAAUUGACAUAGGGUUUACACUAAUCUUAACAACCCAAUCUGAUUUCAAUUCGCAAAUGUUAUUGAUUUUGUUUUUCUUUUAACUGUCGGAUUUUUAAAAAUCUGAAACACGCAGGGGUUUGGAGAUUUUUUUGGAGAAUUCUUGUUUCUGCUUUACUUAGGGAGCUCUUAGUAUGCAGAAACAUAGCUUUUGUUGGAGUUUCUUGACUGUUUAUUUUUCUUCUGAUCCGUGCAGGUGUGGAUGUAUGCUGACCAGAAGAAACUCGGUUAUCUUGGUAGACAAGAAUUUUAUAAUGCCCUUAAACUCGUAACUGUGGCACAAAGUAAGCGAGAACUGACACCAGAUAUUGUCAAAGCUGCACUGUAUGGCCAUGCUUCUGCUAAGAUUCCUGCUCCCCAGAUAAACAUUGCAGCCACACCCGCAGCUCAGCCUAAGGUAGCUACAGUUCCUUCACAGGCCAGUGGCAAUGCAUCUGUACCAUCCCAAAAUUUUGGCCUCAAAGGGGCACCUGGCCUUGGCAAUGUCGGUGUGAAUCAGCAGUAUGUACAACCGCUACAAAGUCAGGUUGCAAGGCCAUCUCAAACCAUGCCUCCCAGCACUGCAUCACAAACCCAAGUAGCACUUCCUGCGGAAGGCAUGCUGAGGGGUAGUAACAUGGUGGCUCCUUCUCGUCUUCCAACAUCAAACUCCUCAACUAAUUGGCAAAGUGGAAGUGGAUUCCCAACCGGUGUCAGUAACCAAGUUCAUAACCGAAGUGGUAGUCCUUCUACAAGCCAAGGAUUUGGGCUUACAGCUUCGGCGUUGACAUCUUCUAUGCAACCGAGACCACAAGCAACUCCUGGGCAGAUAUCCUCUACUGCUCCAAACCCUAAAGAUUCAUCCAUACCAUCCAGCCAGUCAGGAGCAGACAAUCCCAAGGCAUUGGUUGUUUCAGGAAAUGGGUUUGCCUCUGACUCUCUUUUUGGUGAUGUCUUCUCAGCAACUUCAUUGCAAUCAAAGCAAAUUUCUUUGGCAACCACGUCGUCUGCAACUAGCUCCACUGUUUCAACGUCUGUUCCAGCUUCUGGGUCCCAUCCUCCUGCUAAGUCAAGCCCAGCUGAGCCUUUGCAGGGUACACUUUCUCAACAAUCUGUGGGUGGCCAGUAUCACCCAGGUCAUCCAACAGGAAGACAGUACCAGCAGGUUGCAGUUCAAAGCAAUGCUGCACCUGGUUCAUCUGGGUUUCCUACUGGACCUGGGAACUUGGCUUCUGGUCAGUCAACUCAGACUCAACCCCCAUGGCCAAAGAUGACUCAAUCUGAUAUACAGAAGUAUACAAAAGUAUUUGUACAAGUUGACGCUGAUAGAGAUGGAAAAAUUACUGGUGAUCAGGCUCGCAAUCUGUUCUUAAGCUGGAGGCUUCCAAGAGGUAGGCUAUAAGUGAUCGUCAGCUUUUGGUUUAUAUCUGCUAGCUCAGUUGCAUUGGUUAAGUUCCUUUUGUUUUCGCAAUCUUAUGGUGAUAAUGCAAUAGAUCAUGUGGAGUCUGCAUGGGCAUAACUGGCAGAUCAUUAAUAUUGUAUUUUGUUUUUUAGAUAUUUCUUUUUAACAGCUAUUCACAAAUCUUUUUAACUACCUACUUAUAAGUCUAAAGAUGAGAUUCUUUUUUAUUAUUUUAACUGAUCAGUUGAUAUCACUUCUUUCAAGGCUCCAUCUACACAAGUACCUCUAUUCUUGUUACUGCUAUCUGAGUUUAUUUAGAGUGAAUAUCUUCUUGUGGAAUCAUGAAACAUAAAACUUUUAGCAUCUUGAAAAACUUAUGGUUGGUAUUAAUGGCCAAAAUAAACAAAAAUCCUUGAUGAAACAGAAAUUUAGUAAAAAUGAAAAAUGAAAUCAUGAUAUUGAGAUCAAUGGAAAACAAGAGUUCAUUUUGAAGUGAUAGGGCCCAAGCCAAUAGGUCAGAGAAGUAGAGUUUGUGCGUAAAGUUUUCUUUGUUUCUUUUGGAACUUUCAGAAUGAGUAAAGAAAUAUUAAAAAUUGCUUUGCAGUAAUUCUUAAAUGCAUGAUAGGCAGGUAGGGUUGUUGUAAAAUGAUGAAUUCUACUAUUGAUUGAUGAAAUGUUAAUCAAUCAUUCUUAUUUGGAGCCAUUAAUUUUAAAUGUUCAGGCCACUGUAUUCAAUAAGUAUAGUGUUAAUUGUUGAGGUUAUAUGUAAUUUUAAGGAGAGAAAAGGAAGAAAAAUUAAAAAGAAGGCCAAAGUAAGAUUUUGGGAAACAAAAUUGAAAAUUAAGAUUUGUUUUCUGUUCAAAGACCUUUGUUCUCUCUUUCAUUACCAGUUUUAGUUAAUGGAUUUAUUAUAUUCUCUUUCUGUGUGUAUGUGUUCUUUUUCCUUCUGGUUUGCCUUCUCCCUCAUUCGAAAGAUAAGCCAGUUUCUUUGGUUUACAUCAAUCAAUUUGAUUACUGGAGGUGUUAUUGAUGUAAGGACUUGUUUGAUAAAUCAUUGAGAACAUCGAUCUUAAAUGAUUUUUAUUCUUUUCAUAUGCUUUGGCUUACUCAGUUUGGAAACCAUUUUAACAAAAUAUUUUCAGUAAAAUUUGUUUAAAAAUUCAUAUAGUAGAAACCAAAUUAGUUCAUUUUUAGUACAUUAACCUUUUUCUCCCUUCUUUUCACUUUAUUUAUUUUUUCUCUUAUGAGCACUUACACCUCUUUUUUAGAAUCUUAUACAUUGCUUACAUUCAGAAAUAUUUUUGUGUUUCUUUUGAAAGGAAAUUUGUGCCACUUUAUGACAUGAUGGUCAUUCUGAUAUUACUUAUUGGUGUUUCAGAGGUCUUGAAGCAGGUGUGGGACCUAUCUGAUCGAGAUAAUGACAGCAUGCUUUCUUUGAGAGAGUUUUGUACUGCACUUUAUUUAAUGGAACGCUAUAGAGAAGGCCGCCCUCUUCCUUCUGUGCUCCCAAGUACCAUCAUAUCUGAUGAAACUCUACUGUCCACCUCAGGUCAUCCACCAGCUUCAUACGGAAAUGUAGCUUGGAGGCCUUCUCCUGGUAUUCUUUCCCUAUUGUGUCAUAUUUUUUCUGUAUUUUGCUUUUCCAUGUUUUCUUCAUGGAUCAUCUCCUUUUACGAGAACAUCUGCAAUAGGUUUCCAGCAACCACAAGCUAGUAGUGCUCCGCGACCACCUUUACCUUCUGCUAGGGGAAGACCGCCAAGGCCAGGGCCAGGUCCUCAGACUGAUGCACAGCCGCUGCCCACUCAGCAAAAGUCCAAGGUUCCAGUUCUGGAAAAGAACCUUGUAGAUCAACUUAGCCAAGAGGAGCGAGAUGCUCUUAACUCAAAGUUCAAAGAGGCAACAGAAGCAAAUAAAAAGGCAUUUCCUCUUUUUCUCCGUUACUUGCUAUGUUCAAGUGGCUAAUAAUUUAUUGAAACGCCCACCCCCAACCCUUUCCCAUUUUUGAUUCGUUUGUAUUUAAUUGCCUUGAAAUUUCUUUAUAUUUUAAUUCUUUUUUCCUCAAUCAAUGCUAUAAAUUUGAUCUCAGGUUUAGGGCUGUCCUGCACUUAGUUGGUUAGUACAUCUCUUAUUGUUAACUAUUCUUGAGAGGUGGCUGAAGUAACUCUGUCUAGGAAAUUUCUUGUGAAAUGUGAUACAGAAUAAACUGUUCUAAUUUAAUUUCUUUUGAGGAUCUAUUUUCUCCGAAAUGCCUGGUAUUAUCUUCUCUAGAAAUUUGUUCAAGUCAGCCUCAAUUUUUUUUUCCCUUCUUCUGAAGGUUGAAGAGCUGGAAAAGGAGAUACAAGAUUCAAGAGCAAAGACUGAAUUCUUCCGUGCUAAGAUGCAGGAACUUGUGAGUAUGCUUCUUUUGUCUGUACAUCUUUCAACUAUAAUUGACCUCUUUGGGAUUACACAAACCCUAAUCUACUAGAAUGCUAGUUUGCUAAAGAUGUAAGAAUGCCUUAGGCGGGAAUCAUCUUUGAACUAUAUUAUUGCUAAAUGCAUAUGUUUCUUUUUGGUGUAUUUGAUGUUGCAUCUUCAGACUACUGAUUUGUUGCCCUUUUGUUGCCACUUGGAAAUAGAUUUUAUAUAAAAGCAGAUGUGACAAUCGACUUAAUGAGAUUACUGAAAGAGCCUCUGCUGACAAACGAGAGGUACUGUGCUUUUUCUUUUCAAUGUUCCACAAUUCAAUUCUACUUUCCAUGUGGUUUUUUUGCUAUUGGGUGGUUGAAUUAUUCUGUAUUCCAGGUUGAAGGGUUGUCAAAGAAGUAUGAAGAGAAAUACAGGUUGUCUGGAGAUGUAGCCUCUAGGUUAACCAUUGAGGAGUCCACAUUUCGUGAUAUUCAGGUAUUUAGGAAUGUCCUAUGCUUUGAGUAAUAGCUAAUGGUUGAUUGGCUUGAUAGCCAUGCUUGAGUUUCCUUGUGCUGAAAAUUUUCGUGUGCUUUGUUUCUAUUUGAAGUUUCUGAUAAAUUGACUUCAAUCACUUGCAGGAGAAAAAAAUGGAAUUGUAUCAGGCAAUUGUCAAAUUAGAACAAGGAGACAAUAAGGAUGGUGCUCUCCAGGUAUUAUCUAAUUGUAAUUAACUAGAUUUGGUCAUGGAAACUGAAACUUGUAUGUAAGAGCAUGGUUUCUGUUGGCUUGUGCAGGAUCGCGCUAAUCAUAUACAAUCAAGUCUGGAGGAAUUAGUGAAAUCUGUUAAUGAGCGUUGCAAACAAUAUGGAUUACGUGCUAAACCGACUUCACUUGUUGAGCUUCCAUUUGGUAUUAUUUCCUCUUCAUAUAUGUUUGUUAUAUUAUUAUAUGAUGUCUGGGCUUAUUUGGUUGAGCAAUGUACUUCCUGGAUAUUCUAUGAUGUUCCUGCCAAGGGACUUCUUUGUCAGAAAUUAUAUCUGCAGUACCAGUACCUCUUUUUCCCUAUCUUUUGGAGAUGAACACUAGAAAUGAUGGUAUUUUGUCCAAAUCGGGAUGAUUCCUGUAGAUGAUAAGGUAUGGCCACAUAGGAUGCAAAUUGAGGGGAUGCAAAUUGUUGCAAAGGGUAAAAGGCUGAAGUGAGAUAAAAAAGAACAAAGUUAGAAAGGUUGAAUGCAUAUCAAGGGAUUCAAAUGUUAAGAUUGAUGUAUAGGAAAACUAGGAAGGAUUAUAAUAGAAAUGAGGAUAUUUGUCUUUAAGUUAGAAUGAUUCCUGUAGAAGAUAAGGUAUGGCCACAUAGAAUGCAUAUCUUAGAAGGAUGGAGAAAACUGGCAAUGAACAGGGUAAAAGGUUGAACUGGAAUUGAUAAAUAAAUACAUAAAAGACAUGGUUGGAGGUUAAUAAUGAUAUGAAUAGACCUUGAAGACACUGUGGUGGUUGAUUAGAAUGAUUUAUGGAGGAGGAAUCGUGUACUCAAAUGUAAAUAUUUCUAUGUCUUGGUUCUUUUAGCCGAUCCCAACUAUAUUGGGAAUAAUACUUGUUGGUUUAGUUUGUGGCUUGUUCUGUUCUGUUUAUGCUACCAUUCUUAAUCUCCUCAAGAAGUAUUAUGUGAUACUAAUAUAAUCAUGUCACUUUUUAUUUGCCUUUUAAUUUGCGUUCAGCUGACUAUGCUUGCAAGUCCCCCCCCCUCUUUUCCUUUUUCAUAUUGUAAAUUUAAGAUAUCUAGAGAGCUUUAGUUGAUUUUGGUUUCUAAAUCAGGCUGUGUUUUUUUUAAACAAUUCAUUAUGCAACUAAACUCAUGUUUAUUUUUUAUAAACACAUACCUAAAAGAUUUUUCACUUUAUUGUCAACUUUUCUUAGGCUGGCAACCUGGAAUCCAAGAAGGCACAGCUGAUUGGGAUGAAGAUUGGGACAAGUUUGAAGAUGAAGGUAUGUGCCUGUAGGGCUUUUCCUUUGAUGUCCAGCCUAGCGUUUGGUGAACCACAUUCAAGAAUGAUUUGGCAUGCCCUUUACAUAAAAUUUGAUAUGGUGCUUUCUUCUGAAUACGCCGUAUACUAUUCUGAUGAAUCAUACUUCUCCUUCUAGGAUUCACGUUUGUAAAGGAGCUCACACUUGAUGUUCAAAAUGUCAUAGCCCCUCCAAAACCAAAAUCUUCAUUAGUUCAAAAGGAGACAGCUGCUGAUGCUGACUCAGACAAGGUUCCAGAUACAAGUGAAAGGAUACCUGAGAAAGACUUUGCAGUUGACCACAGUGAGGAUGGCGUGGCAAAAAGUUCAUCUGGAAAUCCUGCUGUUACAACAGAUACGCAAUCUCAAGAAUUCCAGGAUUCCCAUGUGACGAGUAGUGGUGGUGAAGGUUCUCCCCAUGCUCAGAAGGCGAGUGGUCCUUAUGAAUCUCCACGUGCCAAAAAAACUGGUGAUAAUGAUAGCUCAGCUCUCGCUAAAGAGUCUAGAAGGUAUGUUGUUUAGUUUGCAAUAUUAUGUAGUUCUCCAGCAACCAUUCCUCUUGCAUCUAAUUUCUGCAAGCAGUGAACCUACACAUGGUUGUGCGGUAGGGAUUUGUUUUCUUUUUCCUUUUUUCUUUCUUAAGUCUUUGAUGUUUAGCUUAAGGUGUCUUGACUGACUGGUGAUUUACCUCUACAGUGAUCAGGGUGGUGCCGAAUCUUUAUUUUCUGAGGACAAGGGUUUUGAUGAACCUAGCUGGGGAAAAUUUGAUUCUCAGCAUACAGAUGCAAUUUGGGGCUUUGACAGUGAACGUGGCACGGUAAGCAGAUUUUGUCUUUCAGCACUCAUUCAGAUUAAACUGCAUGUUGUUUUCUCUCUCAAGUCAAAUCAAGAGAAUGAAACCUAUUUCUCUAUUUGGCUUGGGUUUUCUUGGUCAUUUAUUUGUUUCAGUUCUACUGCCAAUGAAAAAGAAUUAUGUUUCAGUUAUCAUGAUUUUUCUUUCUUUUGGUUUUUUGGCUGAGGCUGAGUAGUGCCAACAUUUUCUAGUUUAAUAUCUCAGGACCAUUUAGUGUCGAAUUAGUUUAUCAAAGGAAACCAUGUAUUGUUUUCUCUCUUGGAUGCCAGCUUCUUUUGCUCGUCUUGAUUUCAAUAUUUUUCUUGAUGGAUGUUUGUUUCUUGAUGCCCCUUUUGGGAACUUGGAUUUGAAAAUUUUGGAUUUCAUUUAUUAUGUAAAUGGUAAUAAUGAAAUGCAUAUAUUAUAGACAAAUUAGUUGAGAUUCAAUCUAAUAUAUAUUAGAAAAGUAUAAAAAACAUGGAUUUGCCAUUAAAGUCCUAAUUCCCAAACACUACCCGAAACGAUUGAUUUGUCAGAAUUUUAUUGAGAAUCACAAAUUGGUCUAAAGAGAACUUUUCUUGCAGGAGAUGGAUCCUGAGAGGCAUGAUGAUAACUCUAUAUUUGGUCUUGGCGGCUUCAACAUAAAGCCCAUAAAAACGCAGUCACAGUCUGAAAACUUAUUCCCUGGGAAAGGUCCAUUGUUUGCAGAUUCUGUUCCAAGCACCCCUGCCUACGCAGGUGACAUGUUCCAAGGGAAGAGCUCAUCUGUUUUUGGGGAAUCUGUUCCAAGCACCCCUGCUUAUGCAGAUAACAUGUUCCAGGGGAAGGGCUCAUCUGUUUUUGCAGAUUCUGUUCCAAGCACUCCGGCCUAUGCAGAUAGCAUGUUUAAGGGGAAGAGUUCGUCCUUGUUUGCAGAUUCUGUUCCAAGCACUCCUGCCUAUGCAGAUAACUUGUUUAAGGGUCAGGGUUCAUCCAUAUUUGGAGAUUCUGUUCCAAGCACUCCUGCCUAUGCAGAUAACUUGUUCAAGGGGAAGGGUUCGUCCAUAUUUGCAGAUUCUGUUCCAAGCACUCCUGCCUAUGCAGAUAACAUGUUCAAGGGGAAGAGCUCAUCUAUUUUUGCAGAUUCUGUUCCAAGCACCCCUGCUUAUCAUUAUGGGAGCUCCCAACAGGGUUUUGGUGAAGGAUCAGAUGGUUACUCGUUUGACAGCUUCUCUAGGUCCGAUUCAUUCAACAUGCAAGAUGGUGGAUUGUUUCAAUCCCGCACAUUUGACAGGUUUGAUUCCAUGCGCAGCUCAACAGACUUUGAUCAGGGUUAUGGGUUCCCCCCAUUGAGGUUUGAUUCAUUUAAUGCAAGUGAUCAACCUGAGAGUGGGCUAAACAAAUCUCCAAGACAUUCGCUAACGAGGUUUGAUUCUAUGCGAAGCACUACAGGGUUUGAUCAUGGUCACGAGUUCUCAUCGUUCGAUGAUGCUGAUCCAUUUGGGUCAACGGGGCCAUUUAGGACAUCACUGGAGAGUCAGACACCAAGGAGAGAUGCCAAUAAAUGGAGUGCGUUUUAGAUAUAAAAGUAUAUAAUAUAAUAUAAAUUGGAUUAAAUGGACUAAUGGGGUUGUGGUUAUCAUGUUAAGCCUUGUAGGUGAAGAAGAUUUUGGUCAUUUGUGUGGCGGCUUUGAUUCUUUUAUUAGUAUAAAUAGCGACUGGAAUGGAGUGGUUGUGGCAGUGUCUUUAUUGUUUUUUUUCUUUUCUGCAACUUUAUACCGUUGUUCGUUUUGUCUUUUCUUUGAACUGGUUGUUUUUAGUUGUAGAAGCUUCAAUCAUCCUUGUUCAUGGACAGGUCUGGACUCACGAAAUGUUGUUGUUUCAAAAUAGUUGGUAAUAAUCAUUGUACGUGAUAUCGAACGUAAAAUUUGUAUAAACUCAUUUCUCAUGCACUCCGUUUUUUUGUUAUGGUUUCUGGUUUCCUUUUUUAGUAUAUAUUUGUAUUAGCUGAAUGUUUGUCUUCCUGAUGGCAUGGAGUAGAGGAUGAUUUUGUGCUAAUGGUGUUAGGUUUGAUAGCACAAAAGAUCUCCUGUGGCCUACACUUAGUGGUAAUUUUUUUUUUAAUAUUACCUUGGAGAUUUGAAAGUUGAUCAACUGAUUGAUAUUUGGUUGUUCUACAACAAUCUACGUACAGUAGUAGUAAUAUGCAUAGCCAAAACAAAAACAAAACCAAACAAAACAAAGUUUCUUCCAAGGUAUCCCACAAUUCCAAAUUCUCCGUACAGCAAAAGAAAAAAAAGAGGGCCAUGCACAAGCCCAACACUUUCCCAAACUCUUUGUAUCUUGUUACUGACUACAAUUGCCCUAUUCCUUCAAAACAAUAAACACAGCCAAAUCAACCAUAUCAAUAAUCAACUCAGCAACACUGUCCGCAUCCCAUCUUUUACGGGCCAUUUGUGCCCACGAUGAAGUAUUAUAUAUUUCAAAGGAGAAAACAAUUCUUGGAGUUUUCUUUCAAAAAAAGUCAGCUCAUGAGAGAAAAGUAACCUUUUGUCUUCAGUACACCCUAGAGUAAUCAAUGUGGAAUGAUUUCAAGACCUUACUCACAGAACCCCAAUGCUCAGUCGUAGUAACGUUUCUUGGAAAUAAGUUGAGUUUGCAUAUCGAAAAGAAAAUCUAGCUCUCCCUCCAAACAUUUCUCCUAUAAACACCACAACACAGAAUUACAAGGACUAAUAUGUGGCGCAUAUGCGGCGCUGACACAACAUUCCAUCCUCCCUUCCUCAUGCAUGUGAAAAAACUUCUAACUGAUCCCAUCUGUCUUCAUUUAAUUGAAUAUCUCUACACCACAAUAAAACAUGCCACACUAACAGAUUAUUAUUAUUAUAUUGUAACUGUCAGCAUUUGGGAGGCAGCUUUGCUCCACUUUCACCUUAGCUAUUCAAUAAUAACCCUUCUCAAACAAACACCUCCCUUGAUCUCAACUUUCUUUACAAGGCCUCAGCUAAAUGACACCAGCAUUGCAGAGAAUUUUUAUAGAGCAUGAAUCAAAGCGUCAUAGGCCAGAGUGUCUGGUUUUACACUACAGUGCUAGAUUUGAUGACUUACAAAAGUUUAAAAACAUAGGCAAACAAUAAAAGCCCUAGCCAAAUCAUCAUCUUCCUUAACAAGAAGGUGCAGCAUCGAAUAGAAAAUUAUUUAAGAACAUGGGUAUUUUUGGAGCAGUUGUAAGAGGAUUGAGAGUGGGUGAAGUGAAAUUUAGGAGCUUUCAAGGCUGGAAGGUUGCUUGGGCUGAUUUCUGGUCUGGUCUAGUGUUAAAAAGUGAAUUUGCUCAUGAACAUAAGGAUGCAAGUCUUGAAAGAAGCGAUUUUACAUUAAGUUUGGCUUCUAUGGUUGACAACGCUGAAACUCUCCAACUCAAGUUUAAUGUAACCAUACGACUCCAAUUUUAUAUUUUUCUCAUCAUACAUACAAGCCAUUGUGUCCCAAAACUUUAGAAAUGUCUAAUACAUAUAUCUGACAUUUACACCAAAUUCGAGUAGCCUAGCUUAGGAGUACAGACAUGUAAUGAUCAAAGUAUAAUGCAACUAGGAGUAUAUAAUUUACUUGAAAAUUUUGGAUAUUGAAAACAACAACUGAGAAGUGAUGCAGUGAAUUAAUAUAAUGUUUGAAAGUUGCAGAAAUUCAUCCAACAAAAACGUUUCAAGGUUUUUCAGCACAGACAAUAUGUCGAACAGCUAAGAUGCAUCAUAUCCAAAAGCUAAGAAGAACAUUACCAUUUUUUUUAGAUUGAAGAGUAAAUGAAGAAUCUAAUCCAAGUCCUUCACCACCUUAAUCCCCAUGGUAUUAGCAGUCCCAAUAAUGGACUUACAAAUACUCUCCAGGGACAUGUACUGACAAUAGGGAUCGGAUUGCUUAAUCUUGGCAAUCUCGUAAAUAUGUCUGACGGACAAAGUGGUGGCGACCACGUGGCCAGGCCGGCUGCUUCCGGACUCGAUACCCGCUGCCUUCUUCAAGUACCAGGUGACGGAUGGAGACUUGACAGUGAACUCAAAGGUGUUGUCUUUGAAGGCGGUGAUAGUGACAGACAUGGGGGUGUCUGGCUUGUACUUUUGGGUUCGGGCGUUGAAGUCCUUGCAGAAGGCCAUUAGAUUAAGUCGGUACUGACCCAGGGCUGGACCUACUGGGGGUGCGGGUCGUGCUCCUCCCGCCGGCACAGUCAGCCUGAUGGUGGCCGCCACUGGACGGCGGGUUAGGAUUUCUUUCAGGGUCGACAUGCCUCUCUUUGAUUUUGCUUACCCUACUGUUUUUUCUCUUUCCCAACGAUGUUGGGCUUGGAAAAAUUACAUAAAUGGGUGCAAAUAGUAAAUGGCAAAUUGAAAGGUAUUAUUUUUACUUUUGGUUAAUUACUUUGAUUCCAAAUUUUAAACCCAUCUAAUUGAGUGCUCAUGGUAUCAUAUUACAUCAAUCAAGUCCUUUUAUUUACUUAUGAUAUUAAAUAGACAAAUCAAAUUUUAAACAUCUAAAUAUUAAAAUUUAGGACUAUUCUUUCUUUGUAAUAGUUAUAAUAACUAAGCCAUAUAUAUUCAAUAUUUGAUCCACAUGUUAUAUUCGAGCUAGCAUUUAAUGCCUAAGUACCUGAUUGAUACGAUAUUAAUACUUUAAGGACUUAAUUAUAACAUUUGAAGUAUAAUUUAGAUUAUAAUUUAGGGGUGUCUUGAUGCAAUUAACCAAAAAAGGAAUAGGUAAGUAAUUGGGCUGGGCUGGGCUGGGCAAUUAUUAGGUUUUAAAUGGCAGAAGAAGAACUGAAGAAGAAGAAGGCGUUCACUCGGUUCUGUUUAAUUUUUCAAUAAUUUAUAUCUUUAGCUAGUAAUUUGAUUCUUUGCUGCCUCCACACUCCCACUUCAAGUUUAAAGAUAAGGGCUAAGCAUUUGGAGGCAGAAAUCUUCAGCAAAGAAGAGAAGAGAAGAGAAGAUGUUGAAGAGCAACACGUUCAGCAGGAAGACCAAGGCCGGCAGAAUUAAGAAGGUUCCGAUUCCUCUCCUCCUUUUUGUUUUAAUUUAUUACAUAUAAAAAAGGAAAAGAUUUUGAAACCCUAACUAAGUAACAGAGGUAUUUACUUUAGUUUAUAAUGAUGGUAAUGGAAUGUAUUUCAAUUGCUUGUGGCAUGGGGAUGGGGAUGGGACAGGAAGUUAGAGAAAUAUAUCUGAGAGACGACAUUUACUGUGGAGCUGCUGCUUGCAAAACGUGUGACACUUCCACGUCACGUGCUCCUUUGGAUGUUGCUUCUCCCCUUCUCAUUCUUGAUACCAAUGUCCUUCUUCAUCAGGUUUUUUUCUUUUUCUCUUUUGGCUUCAAUAUAAUUAUACUGAAUUCUUGAUUGUGUUCUCAAAUUUUAACGUUUCAUUUUCAUUAUUACUAUUACUAUUAUUAAUAUAUGUUAUAAGAUCGACUUGCUUGAGAACUCUGCCAUCGACAAUGCGGUGCUGCUAUCUGUGGUGCUGGAUGAAGUUAAGAACAAGAACAUGGCCGUUUACAAUAGAAUUAGAGCUCUUUCCACCAAUCCUCUCCGCAAGUUCUAUGUUUUCAGUAACCAGUUCCAUAAGUUGGUUUUCUCAUUCCUCGCCAUUCAUUUCCUAUCAAAUUCUCUACUUUUCACUCACAGCUGCAAAUAAAAUGAUUUUAUUUUCAGCCUCUUAUAUCCACUAUUUUCUUUCUUUUUGUUAACAGAGACACAUUUGUAAAGCGCAUGGAUGGUGAAACUCCAAAUGAUUACAAUGACAGAGGUUAGAUUUGCACUUUAAUAUCUCUCUAAGCAUUUGCUUCUGAAAUUCAGCUUGUUUACUACGUUCUGUUGUUCUUCAGCAAUUCGGGUGGCUACUCGAUGGUAUCAAACUCAUCUUGGUACUGCAGCAACAGUUUUACUUAUAACCAAUGACAGAGACAAUAAGAGGACGGCUGGCGAAGAGGGCAUUUCUGCUGACACAAGUAUGCACACUCUACUUGCUUAGGAACUUCUAUCAACUUGAUAUUUUAUAUAUUGGCUUACCAGUUACCACUAAUUAUUUAAUACCACCUCUAUUUGCAAAUUAUUAGGAUUAUUCAUGUGGUAUGCUAACUGUUCAAUGGCCAACUUGUUUCAGUUCAGUCCUAUGUAAAAUCAUUGGGUCAACCGGAGUUGCUUGACCUGCUUGUUCAACCUGCAUCCGAAUCUGAAGAUACUGUCAUGGUAGAAGUUGAAGAUUUGAGACCUUCCAAGAGACAAGUUGUUUAUCAAGAAGUAUGUUUGCUAAUGCUGUUUGCCAUUUUUAAUUGUAAACAAUGAAUUUGGUUAAGAUUUGUUCCCAUGAAACAAAUUGGUUCUCUAAGGCUUAAUCUUUUCUUUGUUUAGCAUAAACCCAUGUCUGAGAUUACGUUGGGCUUGCAUCGUGGAAUAUACCAUCAAGGAAAGCUUCGUGUUAAUCGUUACAAUCCAUUUCAAGCAUAUGUUGGAAGUGAGAGCAUAGGUGAUGAAAUAAUUAUAUAUGGACGUCAAAACAUGAACCGAGCUUUUGACGGUGAUAUAGUAGCUGUAGAACUUCUGCCCCAAGAUCAAUGGCAUGAGGAGAAGAACUUAUCCAUCGCGGAUGAAGGUAUUAAGGUUUUUGUGUUUUCUGGGUUCAUUGGAAACGUUUAAUGCUUUUUCAUGUUUAUAAGUGAUUAUGAGUAUGCUGCCGGUACACAUUAAUGUUGUAAAAGGGUGCUUACAUGUUUUCAUUUUAAGCACGAUGCUUGGUAUCUUUAUUGGUUCUUCCAUAAAUAAAUACUUUUAUCAUGGUCUCCCUUGCGUAAGGGUACAAAAUACUAAACAUACUGCUAUCUCUUUCACAUGCAUCUAGUUAGUUAGUAUUUUCUCUCUUCCCUUUCAGAGGAUGAGGAAGAAGAUGAUGUUCAUUUAGCUCCAAGCAGUGCUGAUGAUGCCCCUAGAACUACGAAUCUGGUAUCAGAUUCUGCCACUGAUAUGAACUCCACUCCAUCACGGCCAUCAGGCCGUGUUGUUGGUAUUAUAAAGAGGAACUGGCACUCGUAAGUUAUCUUGCUACCAUAAUUAACACAAUGCACUUAAUAUCUGUUUUUUCUGUUUUCUUUUGCUGGUGCAUACCUCGUAACUGCUUCAACCGGGUGAGGGCCCAGUUAUGAACUAAAUAAGUAUGAUUGUAACUUGUUUUCUUUCUCCUAGUUCAGCCUGUUCUAGUUUUAAUUUAGUGUAUUUCUAUCAGUUUGUUCAAGUUUUAUCUUUCGUGAAGUUAUUUCAAAUAAUUGAAUUUGAGAGGUAUUCUUCAUAUAUCCUAUUGUGUGGUCAUGUGGUAAACUUUUAAUCUUUGUGGGUUCAGUGUCUUCACUGCUUUUUGAAUCAAACAUGUUCUUAAGAAUUGUUCUUCAUUUUUCCCUGCAUAAUGAUGUUGAUUAUUUCUUGUUAUUUUGCUUAUAGUCUAAAUGAUCACUUGCAGUUAUUGUGGGUCUUUGGAACCAAUGUCUAUGCCUGCUGGGACUGGAAGCUUUACAUCUGCCCUAUUUGUCUCCAAAGAUCAUAGAAUUCCUAAGAUUCGGAUCCAAACCCGACAGCUUGAAAAUCUUUUGGAUAAGAGGAUAAUUGUGGCAGUUGAUUCUUGGGACCGUCAGUCUCGGUAUCCUUCUGGUCAUUAUGUACGAGUCAUUGGAGAAAUAGGUGAUAGAGACACCGAGAGUGAGGUCUGUGAUAAUAGCUUCUUCAUCUCUCUCUCUCUCUAUAUAUGUCUUGGUGGUAAUUAGCUUAGUAAUACUUGUAUAUUGUGUUGCAGGUGGUGUUGAUCGAGAAUGACAUAAACUCAAGGCCCUUUUCUUCCCAAGUUUUGGCUUGCCUGCCACCAUUACCAUGGUCUGUGUCUAGUGAAGAUGUGGCAAAUUCAAUCCGGCAGGAUUUACGAUCUUUGCGUGUCUUUAGCGUGGAUCCACCUGGUGCGUAUUCUUAGUGGACUGUAGUGAAUUAUGUAUUUUGCAAAUGCUGUACAGAUAGACAUGCCUCUUGCUUGUGCAGGUUGCAAGGACAUUGAUGAUGCACUACACUGUACAGCUCUUCCUAAUGGGAACUAUGAAGUUGGAGUUCGUAUCCUAUAUACUGUCUAUUUAUUCUUUUUUAUAAAAUCAGACUUGCAUUUUAUGUGAUGUGAUGAAUGGAGUUGACACAGAUAUGCAUCUUUUACAAUUUACCUUUUAUAAAACUUUAGGGUUUGUUGGAAGGAUUUUUAUUCCAUUUUUCCAAAUAAAAAUAUAUACACAAAAGAUUAUCUAGUGCUCUGAAAUCUAUUUCUUCUUAUGUAAGAAUAUGUGCUUUUUACCACUGUAGUAUGUUCGUUUUCUUAAAAAUGAAAUUCCUCUGUUGAGCCCUUUUCUUUUCUACCUCUAUGAUGCAUUUCCAUAUGAAGGUAUAAAGAUGAUAACAGGUUUGCAACAAUUAUAUUUUCCUUAUAAAAGGGCUUUUAUGUAUUUAAAGUCUCUUCAUGUGGUUGGAUGUUCUUUAAUAAUAUCUGAUCAGACAUUGCUGAUGUAACAAAUUUUGUUCACCCUGGCACCCCGCUAGAUGGUGAAGCUUCCCAGAGGGGCACAUCUGUCUACCUUGUUGAGCGCCGGAUUGACAUGCUUCCUAAACCUUUGACAGAAGGUCUUUUUUGUAUUUCUUUUUCCCCUUGCCAAUAAGUUUUAGUCUUGUAUACGGUAAUAAAAAGGUUUUGUUGGAUUCUAUACUUGGUUUUUUAAUUGUUUUUCCGAUAUUAAAGUACUAAUGAUCAUUAUUUGCAGAUAUAUGUUCACUUAGGGCUGAUGUAGAAAGGCUAGCCUUUUCAGUUAUUUGGGUAUGUGCUACUAAAUUAUUCAAAUAAUUUUAAGGUUAGGUUCUUGUAUUCUUUUUAAAUAAAUAAAAACUUACUUUCACAUAAAUUCCAGGAAAUGACGCCUGACGCAGAGAUUAUCUCGACAAGAUUCACAAAAAGUGUUAUCAAAUCUUGUGCUGCUUUGUCUUAUGUUGAAGCCCAGGCUAGGAUGGAUGAUAGGUGCUCUAAUGUAGCCUUUUGACUAAUUGUUUAAAGAUCAGCUCAUUUUAAUUUAUUGCACCCUUAUCUGAUUUAUGGAGCUACACUUUCUUCUUCUUGUCCAGUUAUUGUGAUUUCUUGUCUUUGCUUAAAUACUCGGGCAUGGCUUCCCUCUUAAGCUAGAUUUCUUUAGUUGGGUUAAUUUGGAGACAAAAGGAUCAUUCCCUUUAGGGUGUUGAGUUUGGAUCUUACAAGAUGUUAGUUUACAUAUUUGCUAGAGAGCUUCUAUUAUUUUGCUUCUAAUAGGGAGAAUGCUGGUUUUUAGGGUUUUGUCUACGGUAAAGGUUGAUAGUUGUCUAAGUUUCUCAACUGUUAUUUGCCAUUUCCUUUCUUGCUCAGUUGGUCCAAAAAAAUUGUGAAUACAAUCUUGGAAAUUUUCAUUUUAGCACAUUCAUGUAUUUCUUUCUAUUUCUUCCUAAUAUAUACUUGUCAUUCAUAUUCUGCUGCGGAUAUCUGGUUUCCUAGGACCUAGUAGUUUUGUCUUGAGUUGUGGCUGGUGUCUGAGCAUUCUGAUUGCUUUUGUACUUUUGCAGUCGACUGAUGGACCCGUUAACUACAGAUUUGAGAAAUUUGAAUGCUUUGGCUAAGGUCUGAUAUCAAAGAGCCUGCUUCUGCUCUUAAUCGCAGUAUAGUGGGGUUAAUUAGCCUUUAAUUUAAUUUUCUCCAUGUUUAUUGUCACAUGUGAAACUGCAGAUAAUGAGGCAGAGACGUAUCGAUAGAGGAGCCUUAACUCUUGCUUCUGCCGAAGUCAAAUUUCAAAUUGAUACUGAGACUCAUGAUCCUCUUGAUAUUGGUUUGUUGCCUAAUGCCAUUUGUUUUACUCUUAAUCUGGAACACGAAUCAAGAUAUUUUAACAUCAAUUAGAAGAAAAAAUCAGUCCUUCCACAAAAUGAUCCUUUUUGUCUGUCUGUCAACAACCAUGAGUUGUUGCAGUGAGACAAUGGAAUUGUAUCAUGAUGCUAAUUAUUGCUCUUGACCCAAUUUUUCAACAUGAUAACUUACCCUAGAUCUUUUUUAAAAAAUUAUUAAGGUCUUCCUGUAGUUGGCUAUGUUUGAGGUGCUAAAGGUAGUAACUAUACAUGAACAUGGAAUCUAAUAUUUCAUUUGUGGUUCAUUAUGAUUUUAUAGUUUCUCAUAAAAAUAAACAAAAAGGUAAUCUCAAAAAUUGCUGCAAGCAGAAUAUGUUCUGCAGACCAUGAUGUCAUGUUUUAGGAACCAUAUUUUAGAACCUUUUCUGUUUAAACCUUUUUUGUUUAAUAAAAGGUCUGCAUAACGCUGGUUUUCUUCUAUUAGUUCACUGUUUCUGUCCUUUUAAUUCCUAUGCAUUUGGCCUUUUCUUCAUUUGUCCAAUGGUGACCAGUAGUAAUUAAGAAUUGUGAUCAAGACAAUACUAAUUAAAUUAGAUAGUUUUGUGAUCCCAAAAUCCAGAAAGAAUGUUUUUCAUUUUUGGUCAUGCCUCAAUUUUUGUCUGAUAUCUGAGUUAUUCAUUCAGGCAUGUAUCAGAUUCGAGAAGCAAACCAAAUGGUUGAGGAAUUCAUGCUUGCUGCCAAUGUUUCAGUUGCCAAACAAAUCCGUGAUUGUUUUCCUUCUUGUUCACUACUAAGGUAAACUUGUUUUUUCUGUACUUCUUUGCUAUAAUGUUCUUGUGGGACUUGCAUUUCUAUUGUACCUCUUCUUUCAUUCACUGUCUAGUUCUGGUUUGUGCUUAUGAUUUAACCAUAAGGUUUAUCCCAUCAAAAAAAUUAUUUUAUUUUUGUAAAUGCCAGCAGAAAUCCUAACCAGUUGAUGAUCCUGCUUAAAUUUAUAUCACUGGAAUUAUUUAUCAUAGGAUAAAUAAGAUUGCAUGUUAGUAUUUUUAAUGUGAGCCACUUGGUCCAAGAUGGUGUUUAAUCAUAAAAUUAGCAUUAGCGGAUGAUAAUUGUCACUAUUAUACAUCAUGUAAUCUCUUCAACAAUCCAGAUUAUCACUGGAAAAUUCCAGUGUUGUGGCUAUUUCUUUGACAUUGACACUGCUGUUGUUUGACACUCGGCCUUGCCUCCCUGACAUUAAUUUUUGGUUCAGGCGGCAUCCAACUCCCACCAGAGAAAUGCUUGAACCUUUGUUGUGCACUGCUGCUGCCAUUGGACUCGACUUGGAUGUUUCAUCGUCAAAGGCGUUGGCUGAUUCCCUUGACCAUGCUGUGGUAAGGUUCCUAUUCGUUAUAUAUUUGUCUGACAGUUCAGCUGACUUACCACCUCAGAUGAUUCCUUUUCUAGACAUUUCUUCAUCCAACUUCUUGCUUGUCUGGCUUCUUUUCUUUUUUUUCCAUCUUUGCUACUUGGGACACGUUCAUGUAUUUGUUUGGCCUCUCUCUUUCAUAGUUGAUUCUUACAUCUGAGAAAAACUGCCUUGCAGCGUGAUGAUCCUUACUUUAAUAAGUUGAUUCGGAUACUGGCAACUAGGUGUAUGACUCAGGUAAAGUUAGCUAGGAAAUUUUUUCAAUCUCCAGAUGGUUUUGACCUACGCACUUUUUAACUUGGUACUAAUUUGCCUUGGUUUCAAAUUAGGCUGUUUAUUUCUGUAGUGGGGAUCUCAGCCCUCCAGAAUAUCAUCAUUAUGGGCUUGCUGCGCCCCUAUAUACUCAUUUCACUUCUCCUAUUAGGAGAUAUGCAGGUUUGUGAACAAAAAUUUGUUUGUUACUUUACCUUUUCUUGCUGAUGUAUGCUUGAUGAUACUAUUGCUCAAGUAUGGAACCUUCCUUGCAGAUGUGAUUGUGCACAGGUUGCUUGCUGCAUCUCUAGGGAUCGAUAAGCUUCCACCAGUUUUCCAGGACAGAUCUCAACUAACUAGCAUUGCUGAUAGUAAGUUUUUUUUUCCUUUCAUACUGUUUUUGAGGCUUCCAUGGAUUUGGGUAACAAACUUCACAUACCCAUGAUAUCCAUUCUCAGCUUCCUAUGCAUUUUACCUGUUUCAGAUCUGAAUUAUCGACAUAGGAAUGCCCAAAUGGCAAGCAGGGCCUCUGUUGAGCUCCAUACUCUCAUUUACUUCAGAAAACGGUAACUGCCUUGGCCUCUCUCAUGGAAUUGAAACUGCCUUCUAUAGAGCAUAAUGAAUAAUUGCACAUGUUUUGAAUUUAUUUAUUUAUCUUAUGCUGCAGGCCCACUGACACAGAAGCCAGAAUAGUGAAGAUAAGGUCCAACGGGUUCAUUGUGUUUGUGCCCAAGUAUGAACUUAGAUCUUUUAUGCUGGAUUAUCUGUAUAUGUUCCUCGUGUCUUUCUUUUUCUAUCUGCUGUGUCUAGGCAGGAAAAGAUAAUGUUUUGGCACUUGUGUUUGUUGGGUGGAGAAAAAAGUAACAUGAGUUUAUGUUAUAUAAAUGAACAGAUAUGGAAUAGAAGGCCCGGUGUACUUGACAGGCAGAGGAGAGAAGGGAAGCGGGGAGUGGCAUGUGGACGAGCAGCAGCAGAAGAUUGUAAAGAUGGACAAUAGUAAUAGUAAUAGCCUUUCCUACAGUGUUCUGCAAUCAGUGAGGAUCCACAUGGAGGUUGUGGAACCCCAACCCAACCGCCCUAAACUGCAGCUUACUCUUAUUUCCUAGAAGUAGAAGAUAACAUCAACAUGCACAAAGGAGGAGCUUUUAUUAGGUUAUAUAGAGUGUUGUAUUAUUAUAUAAGAUGCAAAUGGAAUGAAUCUUGUUGUGGUAAUUAUAGUAACUGGCCUUUGGUUUGGGUUAAUUGAUGUUGGAUUGACACAAGAAACAUUUUUGUUCAUGGAGUGCGUGUUCCUAUUUCUAUAUGUUAUUUUUGCAAUAACAAAAAGAAUGAAUAAAUAAACUAACACAACUUGUUAUUACUGCUAGAUAGUAGAAAAAUGCAUUUGGGUGGGCGACAAACAAGUAGACCUAAUCAGAUGGAUGUGCAUUUUGAUUAUUUUAUGCGCUGAUGCAUGGAACAUGUGGGACCCAGGAAACUGCAAUGAAAUAAAUGUCCUAAAGUGACCUUAAUCAACGCCCCUAAAAUACAUCUCCCCCCCUUUUCUUUCAUUGGUUUUGAUUUCACAUGAUUCGUGGAUGUGGGUCACAUGGCAUUGGCAGAGAACCCCCCUUGUAACGUUUUACCAUCAUCAUACCAUGUCAUCUCUCACCUAUUGCAAUUUACAGGAAAGCCCAUUUCCCCAUUUUCAAUCUCAAAUUGCAGUAAGAAAUGCAAUGCAAAGUGUACAUGUAUUAUUAGCAUGCAUGAUGAUGGAUGGAGCAUGGAGAUGAAGACCAAAGAGGGACGGAUGUAGUGUGUCCUUUUGUGGUGAUUCCAUUGUAUGAAGUAAGAAAUGAAGUCAAAUUAAUAGGCAGGCAGCCUCCUUAAGGCUCAAACUCAUUCAGUGUCACCUCAUCCUCCCUCCCUCCGACUCCGAUGUCUCCCCCACAUUUCCCUCCUUUGUCAGAAAUCCAACACACACACCCUUUUAAUUUAAUAUAAAUACUAUUAAUUUUUUCAAAAAUAAAAUUAAAAAAAAAAGACAACGACGAGCAUAGCAGAGUAGAGCACGAGACAGACAUCUGUAGCAGAUCACACACCACCGCCCUCGCCUCCUCCCCUACCUUUCACUUUGAACCCAUUUCCCAUCUACAUUACCAUCCCCCUUUUGGAGACCUCAGCCACUCCGAUCUCCGCCCAUGGCUGCAGCCCUCGAGUGCUGGUCCAGCCGAGCCACCACCGCCGAUGACGACAUGGUCGAGCAGGUUUUGAUGCGCUCCAACGACCGAUCCGAGGACACCUCCUCCUCCUCCUCUGCUUCUGCCAAACUUGAAGCCCCGUCCGCCAAGAACAAACGGUUCCAGAGGUUGAGCAGGAACGUCUCUGAGGCCAUUGCCUCUCUCAAGAACUCUCUCAAUCUCGACACUUCCUCCCCACGUGAUCAGCUUCCUCCUCCUGUUCCUUCUGUCCCUUCAUCUUCCUCCAAGGCCGACGUUUGCCGGAAAGUGGUCUGGGGUACCGUUGUACGGAACUUGACUCAGCUUUACCCUGGAAGCCAGUUGCCUGAGAAGCUUGUCUCCAAUAUCCGCAAGCAUUAUGAUUCCUUGCCUCUCAGGUCCCCUUCCCUUCCCUUCCCUUGCCUCUUCCUUCUUCCUACUCAGUUUAGGGUACUCUGAAAAUUGCAACAACAAUCAACAGGAUCCUAAAAGCAGUUUCCUAUCAGCAUGGGUUUUUCAUCUUUGUUUUUCCUUGGCUUUCAAACAGUGAAAGUUCGGGUUUCUUAUAAUUAUUUUUACUAUUAUUAUUUUCUUCAAAUGUUUAAAGUGGCCUUGCCUUAGUUACUGCUGAAAUGUUCUAGUUCUUCUCCCCCCCAAUUAUGCUUUUCUUUUUUGUAAUUUUCUUUUGAUUGGGUAUUAUGUUGACAGUUAUGCACAGGCGGGAUUUGAUAUGAAAGAAGUAUUUCUACAUAUAAAAUUGAUAGAGCAGGCAUCAGGGGAUGAUCACCCUGCUAUAUUUAUUCAGCAAACAUCUGAUGAUGAGGUACAAGGUUGCGUGUUUAAGCUCACAUUUGCUUGUAAUUCUUCCUUUUCUUGGUCUGCCAUGUCUGGUGCUCUUGAUUCUGCUUCCAUCUGUUGCAAGAAGAUACAGAUAUUUGAGAAGAAAGGGUUCACCCUUGGAAUUAUUCUCUUCUUGGUUCAAUCCGCCCACGACAAGUUUUUUAAAUCCCAUGUCGAGAGUGCCCUUAAAUCUGCUCUUCGGAAGCCCAAGACGACCACUGUUAAACUACCAUUUGGACUUUGUGGAUGUCAGGAGGAGAGUACUAAAGGGAGAGACUUUGGGGAAAUUGAGGAAGAACCAAGUGAGCAAACUCACAGAAAAGGGAUUGAAAAUCCAAAUACCAGGAUUCAGCUUCCAAUGCCUCUGCCCUCUUCAUCGUUUGUCGUAUUGGUUGAUGAAUGGCAAACCAUUCAAUCAGGGGCAGACGAGAUUGGGAAAUGGCUAUUGAACUCCGACAGUCUUGAGUUUAUUGAUCAGAUUGCACCCAACUCUUUUAAAGGCAUCUACAAGGGUAAACGUGUUGGAAUCGAAAAGCUUAAAGGAUGUGACAAGGGGAAUUCUUACGAGUUUGAACUUCGAAAAGAUCUCUUAGAGCUUAUGACUUGUGGGCAUAGGAACAUUUUGCAAUUCUAUGGUGUUUGUGUCGAUGAGAAUAAUGGUUUGUGCGUUGUGACCAAGUUGACGGAAGGUGGAUCAGUCCAUGAUUUGAUGCUGAAGAACAAGAAGCUUCAGAUUAAGGAGAUAAUGAGGAUUGCUGCUGAUGUAGCAGAAGGAAUCAAGUUUAUGAAUGAUCAUGGUGUUGCAUACAAAGACCUUAACACACAGAGGAUUCUGCUAGAUAAGCAUGGUAAUGCAUGCUUGGCGGACAUGGGUAUAGUCACUGCUUGCAAGAGUGUUAGUGAAGCAAUGGAGUAUGAAACCGAUGGCUACCGUUGGCUUGCUCCUGAGGUUUGCAUCACCUUACUUUUCUUUGAAUUAAUGUCAUUGUGUGGUCAUAACCUCAUACCAUCCCCUCCCCAAGUGCACAAAUUCUAUUUGCCAAUGUUGGUCAUAAUUCAUAACCAUCAUGCCCGGUCUACUUCAUCAAUCACACGGUCCAGCUAUAGUAAACUAGUUCACCUAAACAGACCUAUUCAACAGUUGAUUUAUCACUUAUGCGGAAUUCAGAUUGAUUUUCCUUGUUUUUAUGUGAUGUUCUUAUGGUUUAGUGUAUGUGGGUACAGCUGUUACUGUUAAUCUUUGCUAAAAGAGACUUUAUGUCACCCAUUGAGAACAUCAUUGUUUGGGCAUGCGUAACAUGUCUUAAUUAUUGUUUUUGCUUUACACUUCAAUAUUGUGUUUACCUUUAUUUAUGCACUACUUUAUUCUCAAUUAACAAAGCAUCAAUGCUGUUUAAGUGCCACAUUUGCCAAAUUGUCUGUGGAGCCUAAUUGGAGCUUUAAUUUUAGCAUGAUUACAGUCCUUUUCCUUACCUGAGGCCACUGUGAUUAUUACUUUGCCUAAUUGAUAUUGAUGUUGUGAUUAUCUUUAGAACAAAACUAGAGGAAAUAAAUUAUGAUUUAUUUUAUAUAUUUCAGUGACCAUAUAGUGAUGCCAUAUUAUAUUGUUUGUAUUUCUGACAUGCAUGGCACCUUACAGGAAGAGUUCUGUCAAUGAAAAUUUGUUCCAACUUUUAAUCCGUGCAAGUUGCAUCUCUUUACUGUUCUCAGAUGUUUCACAUUUAUGCUAUUUGGAUACCAAAUUUUCCAUAAUUAAUAUGUUUAGUGUUUAUAGCGGUUGAUAAUUUGGCAUAAAAUAACAUGAUAAUAGAAUUUAGAAGAGUUUCAAUGCAUUAUGUCAUGAUUUGAGUGGCACGCACAAUAAUAUGUUAUAUCUACAUUAUCUAAUUUUCUUUUCAUAUUCCAGUUCUGUACAACUUACAGUAGAUCAUUUCUGGCCCUAACUUUUUUUGGAUGCCAGAUCAUUGCUGGGGACCCAGAGAAUGUUAUGGAGACAUGGAUGAGUAAUUCCUAUAGUUUUGGGAUGGUAAUUUGGGAGAUGGUGACAGGUGAGGCAGCCUAUUCUGCAUGUUCACCAGUGCAAGCAGCGGUAGGAAUAGCUGCGUGUGGUCUAAGGCCUGAUAUCCCUAAGGACUGCCCACAAAUCCUCAAAUCUCUGAUGACCAAGUGCUGGAAUGGUUGCCCGUCAAAGCGACCGCAAUUUUCUGAAAUUUUAUCUCUGUUGUUGCGGACCAGCUACAGGUAAACGUUAUACCUAAAAGUAAUUCAUAAAAUGUAUCCAUUCAUGCUAAAAUUCUGUUAUAGGAGGCUUGGUAUGAUGUCUUGCUACAAAGCAUGAAUGUAGACUUAGAAGUUCCUACAGUGGAAAUCUCAUAGUUCUAGUUAUAAAUAUAUCUUGUUUGUUUCAAAUCAAUAUUUUUCAUUUGACAGCCAAGGAAGAAAAUUAAAAAGGAAAUAAAGAACAGGUCAUUACUGAAUCCAUGGAGUAUUUAUGAUGGAGUUGUGAGUGGUGUUGGGAAUAUUUAAAAAUAAAAAUUUCCAUGCAUGUUUGAUUUGGUGAUAUGUAUGUUGGGGUUGCAAAAGGCUACAGGAUUAAUUGAUUGAAAAUGAGGAAAAGCAGGCUGAAAAGAGAUCUUCUGAGCCCUUUGUUUUUUUUUUUUUUUGGUGUGUGUCUAGAGUUAUUGAGUGAAACAAGGAAAAAUUGCAUCUUAAGUUUCCAUUUUGUCUUAGAGGUGGCUGGUUGGGGGAACCCAAAAGUUGUCAUCUUGUCUUUUUGUCUCAGAAAAGGUGAGAAUCAUCAAUCAAGUACCAUCCCAUCCUUCCACCUAAUAAGCGUAGAACUGCACUUGGGAAUUGGCUAUAGUUUCCCACGUGCCAAUGAUUUCAGAUGAUUAAAGAUAGCAAUAUAUAUAAAAAAGGAUUUGCAAGUUGAAGCAAUUCAUUAACUCUGAUAGGAUAUUGAGGAUCCUGUUGUUUACAUCUCUUCAACUACUCUCCUAAGUUGGAGUUGAGAAUGGUAGGACAGUUUGAGAAAGUAAAGCAUGAUUGCAAAUGACUAAGAAAUGGAUGUUGACGAAUUGCAGGGGUAGACAUUUUCUUUGCAAGAGCAUUAAAACCAUCAUGACCUAACCUUAAAACAGUAAGCCUGACCAUUUUUUUUUAAUGGAGAUUGGGUUAGCAAGCAUCUAUGCAAAUUCUAUACAUGAUUCCAGGCAAUUCGUUGCCGAAGUGAGCUAUAGAGUUUGAAUCAUACAACUUAUAAAAAUAGGAUUUUUCUUCUUUGGGAAAGCUUCCAGUUAGUUAACAGCACUUGGCUGCGGACUAAUAACUUGUUAUUGAUGCCUGAUCUUGGCCUUUCAACUUGCAAGAUGACCUCUAGUACAUAGGCGAUGUAGGAUUAUAGGUCCCCAAAAAAACCACGAGAUGUCAGGUGGUGCAUGUGCUGGCAGACUAAGAAUAUCUGAUCCUGGGCGUAAGGAUAACUACAAAAUAUUCAAUCAAAAAACAAAGGUAGAGCACAGGAGAAAGAUUAAGUAUCCAACCAACAACAUAAAUAGGAAUAUGAUGGAGAUUGUUGUAUUGUUACUGUUCAGAUAGCAUCUCAUGGAAUAAUAGCCUAACUAGAAACGUACAAUAACUUAUUUUUAGUUUCUAUUUAAUUUUUCUUCUCUUUUAACUUUUAAAUUUGUAUCAUUUGUCAAAUCACUUCAAAGUAGAUAGAAGUAAUCCACUUAAAUAAUUAAUUAAUUUUCUUGAAAUUAAAAAUAUUAUAUAUUUUUAAAUUAAUUUAUAUAUAUUUAAUUUUUUAAAAUUUAAUUGCUAUCAUGAAAUGAUGUGGCAAUUCAAGUGUAUAUCAUGUUAACAAAGUUAAUUAACAUUAAUUAUUAUGGUGAUUUGACAAACAACAUAAAUUUAAAAACUAUAAAAAAUAUUAAAAUAAAAAAUAAAUUUUUUUUUUGUAAAAUUGAAAAACCAAAUAAAUUAUUAUCUAACACGGACGUCACUAAAUAUAAGUUGAGGGGUUGGUUCCCCCAAAAUUUCUCUUCCUUUUUAAUAUGUAUUAUGCCCCAAAAUAAAAUUUACUGUUAUUUUCAAUCCUGUUUUACAUUAGGUUGGAUUAUUUAUUUGGGUUAAACAUUUGAAAGUUAAAAUAUAUAUUUUAAAUCAAAAUUUUAAAAUUGGACCAAUAGUUAAACUAGUCAUGUCAUUGGUUAGUACGGUUGGAUUAAAUAAACUAUUAUAAAAAUAAAAAAAUUUAGUUCAAUCUAUUUUUUAGCUUGAUUCAACCGAUCCAUACCGAUUCGCAGAUCAACUGAUUGGAUGCCUCUCCAGACUAUUACCCUAGCUAGUUCUCAAUUCGACCGACCAAUCUGGUUCAAAUAACCAUGAUUCUAAGUCUCUACAUUUCGUAGAUUUAAAAUCUAGUUCAUUUAUUUUUAUUUUAAGAAUUUAAUCUCUCAAAUUUUUGGAUUUAAAAAAUCACUUUUAAAUUAUAUAUAACCAUAUAACAUUUUAAUUGAAAAGUUAAUGAUAUUAGUUGUCGAAACCUUUUUCUGAAUUUGACUUUUUAUUGUAAGAAAAACGAAAAUAGAGUCGCCACCAAUCCUUUUAAAUUAUUGGAUCACCUCAAAAUUUGAUUAUUUUAAUAAAAUGUUAGAUUUACUAAAAUGAUGAUUUUCGGUCUACAAAAUCCAGGAAAUGGGUUCGGGAGCCGAUUACGUAUGAGAAAGAAUUAGCACCCUCAUAACGCCCAGAAUUGGUAUCUAGUUGAUUACCUAAUGUCUUGACGUCAAAAAUUAAGAAUCCAAAGAGAAUUUAAAAUGUGAUCCCUUUCGCGCGGUGUUAUUUGAUGGUAUUGAAAAAGUCUCUAUCUAAAUUGAAUUUUUAAUUAGGAGAUUUUCUAAUUUCGAAUCGAUCAAGAUGAAAAAUCAUGUCCUGUAAAUUGGGGCACAAAAUCUUGAAUUCUUGAAAAUAAGAAUGCUCAUCAUUUAAUUAUUGCUCAAAUCUUAUAUAUUUUUAAAAAUUAUUCUUUUUUUAAAAAAAAAAGGGGGGGAUGUUCGAUUAUUUCGGUUCAAAGAGAAGAUCGUACUCCGUACGUUAGAGACACAAUUCCUUGAAUGCCCUAAUUAAAGAACACCGUCUUGGUUCAAAUUGCUGAAUAUACAAUGUAUGAAAAUGAAGCUUCUAACAUGACAUACUAUGGACUUAUUUGAUCAUAAAAUAUUAUAUGAGAUACACGAGUAUGUUAUAUGAUGUCAUAGGAACAUAAAUAAUGCAAUAUAUCAUAACUAAUAAUUAAUGUUAUAAAAAAUGUUAAUUAGUGCUAUUAAUAAUAAUGAAUGACCAAAUAACAAAUUAUACAAUUUAAAGGGCAGAAAUAUAAAUAACAAAUAUUAAAAGUGCAGGGAAUUAUAAAGAGAUAAGUAUGCUUAAUAAAAUAAAUAGAGGACUAAAUUAAAACUUAAACAAAAUUUAAAGUACAUUUUUUUAAAAAAAACGAAGUAAAUAAAAGACUAAAAGGAAAUAAUCGAGAAAUUUGAGGGUAAAACUGUAAAUUUCAUAAUUUAAAGGGAAAAAAUAAUAAAUAAAAGUUUAAACAUGCUGGAAUUUAAAUAACAGAAAGUAAAGGGACCACAUCUAAAAAAUAGGACUAAAUAGAAACCCUAAAAAAUUUUGAAGUCCAAAUUACAAGAAAACAAAAAACAAAAAAAAGGAUUAAACUAAAGCAAAAUAGAAAUGUUCAGGGGCCCAGAAUGUUAUUUUCCCCAACCCAACACACGUGUCAUUCCCAGAAGGGGUCAAUAGUCUGAGGACUAAAGUGGAAACAUAUUAAAAUUAAAUGGCGAAAUUAAAAAGAAGAAAAAAUCAAAAUUAGGACCAUAUUAAAUAGUGUCUAAAAGCGAAAGGACUUGGGCAGCAAUUAAACCCCUUCCUCGAAAACACGCAAACCCUGGGACCAUUCGGGUCGUGCUCGAAACAACGUUGCCAAGAUCAAAACGACGUCGUUCUAGGGGGCCUAUUUAAGUUUCUAAAAAAUUUUAAAAAAAUUCAUUUUAACAGCCUUUUAAAAAAAAACUCUUUUCCCUCUUCUUUUUUCUUUCAAGCCCCCUUCUCCUUCGGCCACAAGGUCGCUGCACAUUCGCUGCGCCCACCGGUCAUCGACGCCGACGACCACCGCCU